CGUCGGGCCGCCCUUCUCGCGGCUCAUCUUCCUGCUGGGACCCCAAAUGACGUAGAUGGUGUCCCGGGACUGCUGGAAGAAGUAGGGCUGGUUCCUGAGCAGCAGCGGGACGCUGGUGUGCGACACGACGCGGACGGUGCUCCGCGUGCCCACGUCCUCCUCGAAGCCGGCGGUGGGGGCGUGGUUCAUGCGCAGCACGCACUCCUGCCCGUCGAUCUCCCGGCCCAGGUGCGAUCCCAGCAUCUGCCCCGAGCUGGAGACCACGGCGCAGCGGCGGCACGGAGCUCUGCGCAGCGGCUUCCCGUCGGGGACGCGGCUGUAGCCCUGCAAGCUGAGCGCCGCGGGCGCGGUGUACGCGG
rnacentral:lncRNA from 1 species